AUUGAACGCUGGCGGCAGGCCUAACACAUGCAAGUCGAGCGGAGCGGCGGACGGGUGCGUAAUGCCUAGGAAUCGGCCUGUUCGUGGGGGCUAGCGUCCGGAAACGGGCGCUAAUACCGCAUCCUAUCAGAUGAGCCUCGGUCGGAUUAGCUAGUUGGUGGGGUAAAGGCCUACCAAGGCGACGAUCCGUAACUGGUCUGAGAGGAUGAUCAGUCACACUGGAACUGAGACACGGUCCAGACUCCUACGGGAGGCAGCAGUGGGGAAUAUUGGACAAUGGGCGAAAGCCUGAUCCAGCCAUGCCGCGUGUGUGAAGAAGGUCUUCGGAUUGUAAAGCACUUUAAGUUGGGAGGCGUUACCAACAGAAUAAGCACCGGCUAACUUCGUGCCAGCAGCCGCGGUAAUAC
rnacentral:rRNA from 1 species